rnacentral:rRNA from 1 species
UACACUCCUACGGGAGGCAGCAGUAGGGAAUCUUCGGCAAUGGGGGCAACCCUGACCGAGCAACGCCGCGUGAGUGAAGAAGGUUUUCGGAUCGUAAAGCUCUGUUGUAAGUCAAGAACGAGUGUGAGAGUGGAAAGUUCACACUGUGACGGUAGCUUACCAGAAAGGGACGGCUAACUACGUGCCAGCAGCCGCGGUAAUACGUAGGUCCCGAGCGUUGUCCGGAUUUAUUGGGCGUAAAGCGAGCGCAGGCGGUUUGAUAAGUCUGAAGUUAAAGGCUGUGGCUCAACCAUAGUUCGCUUUGGAAACUGUCAAACUUGAGUGCAGAAGGGGAGAGUGGAAUUCCAUGUGUAGCGGUGAAAUGCGUAGAUAUAUGGAGGAACACCGGUGGCGAAAGCGGCUCUCUGGUCUGUAACUGACGCUGAGGCUCGAAAGCGUGGGGAGCGAACAGGAUUAGAUACCCUUGUAGUCCCAUGA